UACAGAGACUGCAAGCGUUAUUCGGAUUCACUGGGCGUAAAGGGUGCGCAGGCGGUUGGGUGUGUCAGAUGUGAAAUCCCGAGGCUUAACCUCGGAACUGCGUCUAAAACUACUCGACUAGAGUAUUGGAGAGGGUAACGGAAUUCACGGUGUAGCAGUGAAAUGCGUAGAUAUCGUGAGGAACACCAGAGGCGAAGGCGGUUACCUGGACAAUUACUGACGCUCAGGCACGAAAGCAUGGGGAGCAAAAGGG
rnacentral:rRNA from 1 species